rnacentral:rRNA from 1 species
AUGUUGCAGCAAGCCGGCACCUACGCCGCCCGCUCCCAGCUGUCAACGCCGCUCUCCCGCCUCCUGGAGGCCACGCCGCCGGCCCGUCCCGCCGUUGGCCCGCCCAAAUCCAGAUGGGGCCCAAAGGGCCCAGAUCUGGGCCGAGCGGGCUGGUUCAGGCCGCGCCGCCGCGCUGCCCCGCCGCCAACGGCGACGCCGUCGCCCAGUCGUCCACCCACGCCGCGCCAGGAUCUCCGCCGCCACGUCGGACCGCCGCCGCCGAAGAGCACCCCCCGGUGCACACCGCCCCGCGCCGGGGAGCACCGAGAGGGGAAGGGCAGGAGGCCGCCGCCGCCAGCAACCCAGGGGCCAGGCCUGGCCGCGGGUGCCGGCGACGGCGGCGGGGAGGGAGGGAGGGAAGGGGGGGCUCUAGAGGAGGGGGGGCGCCGGAGCGCGGCCGGUCGCCCGCGGGGACGACACGGUCGCGCGAGAGGAGAAGAAAGAAACGGAGGGAGUAUACUGCAGGCUAUCGACUUGCGAUAUGUUAAGCAAAUCACUGUGCCACGCAAUGAGCAAUUAGAAAAGAGUGUUUCACCAAAGAUAAAUGAUGAUGUAGUAAUGGAUGCCUUCUACACGCUACAUGUGUGGUUCCCGAAUUGGACCAUAUAUUUCCGCGAAGAUCUUCAAAUCGACUUGCGAUGUUGGGCAGAUCACAACAUUAAAAGACGAGCAUUUAGAGAAGUGUGUGCUCGCCAAGGACCCAAUGGGUUUCUUAAGAGCUGGUUGCACAUCGUUGCUGUUAGAUGCACCCAACAGGAAAAUUGUUUUUUCUUCACUUCUUGGGCCAGCAUUACUCGACGAGGAACCUAA